CUUGGUGAAGCUUUCCCCUGUGAACCUGGAAUCUUCUGAUACAGGCUCUGAAAAUCUCUGGACACACUGUCAGGAAGGAUUUUCAGGAACUUGAAUGCAGGGACCACGAUCUUCCUGCAGCCAGGAUCCUCUCUACCAUGAAGAUCACAGAAUGACAGAAUGGUCGGGGUUGGAAGGGAUCUCUAGAGACCAUCAAGUCCAACCACCCUGCAAAGCAGGCUCCCUACA